rnacentral:rRNA from 1 species
UGAAUACGAGAUGCUACGGCGUCGAAGCAGUGUAUGUCAGACUUCCAAGAAAAGCUCGCAAUGUCAUAAAUAAAGAAUGCCUGUACCAUAACCGACACAGGUGGGUAGGUAGAGUAUACUAAGGGGCGCGAGAUAACUCUCUCUAAGGAACUCGGCAAAAUAACUCCGUAACUUCGGGAGAAGGAGUGCCUUCUUUAAGAAGGUUGCAAUAACAAGAUCCAAGCAACUGUUUAUCAAAAACACAGGUCUCCGCUAAGUCGUAAGACGAUGUAUGGGGGCUGACGCCUGCCCAGUGCCAGAAGGUUAAAGAAGUUGGUUAGCUUUUGCGAAGCUGAUGACUGAAGCCCUGGUGAACGGCGGCCGUAACGAUAACGGUCCUAAGGUAGCGAAAUUCCUUGUCGGGUAAGUUCCGACCCGCACGAAAGGCGUAAUGAUUUGGAUACUGUCUCGGAGAGGGACUCGGUGAAAUAGACUUGUCUGUGAAGAUGCGGACUACCUGCACCAGGACAGAAAGACCCUAUGAAGCUUUACUGUAACUUGAAAUUGAAAUUGGACUUUAUUUGCGCAGUAUAGGUGGAAGGCGUUGAAAGUAAUCUUGCGGGAUUAGUGGAGCCAUCAGUGAGAUACCACUCCUAUAAUGUUAGAUUUCUAACUUUGGAUCAUGAUCUGGUCAAAGAACAGUUUCAGGCGGGCAGUUUGACUGGGGCGGUCGCCUCCCAAAUGGUAACGGAGGCGUACAAAGGUUUCCUCUGAACGGGUAGAAAUCGUAUCUAGAGUGUAAAGGCAUAAGGAAGCUUGACUGUGAGACCUACAAGUCGAGCAGGGACGAAAGUCGGUCUUAGUGAUCUGACGGUGCUGAGUGGAAAGGCCGUCACUCAACGGAUAAAAGUUACUCUAGGAUAACAGGCUGAUCUCCCCCAAGAGUUCACAUCGACGGGGAGGUUUGGCACCUCGAUGUCGGCUCAUCGCAUCCUGGGGCGGUAGUACGUCCCAAGGGUUGGGCUGUUCGCCCAUGAAAGCGGUACGCGAGCUGGGUUCAGAACGUCGUGAGACAGUUCGGUCCAUAUCCGGUGUAGGCGUUAGAAUAUUGAGAGGAGCCUUCUUUAGUACGAGAGGACCGAGAAGGACAUACCUCUGGUGUACCAGUUAUCGUGCCAACGGUAAACGCUGGGUAGCUAUGUAUGGAGAGGAUAACCGCUGAAAGCAUCUAAGUGGGAAGCCCACCUCAAGAUGAGUAUUCUCAUC